rnacentral:lncRNA from 1 species
UCUGUUUACUAAUCUAGUCUGCUGGUUUUUGUUUGUUUUUGUUUUUGUUUUUUCUGGGAGAACUGGGAUCACCACUAUCAAGAGCUGUUACUGCAAAUUACAUGUUGUUUCUCAGCAUUUUGCUGAUUUCAUAGUUCAUUGUACUUGUGAAUGCUUUAGUUUUGCCUAUUUUUUUCCCUCCUGAAGCUCCUUAUAUGUGCUUAUCUUUCCUUUUAGACUGAAGCAGUGCUUCUAGAAUCCAUUUGUAGGGCACAUUUUUCCCCUUUAGCUUGUUUUUAAUGUCAUAACUUCAAUUAUGACAGUUUUGCUAGUUAGCCUUCUUGCAGUUGGUUAUAUUUCAGAGAGUUUGAACUACUACUACUAUUACUACUACUACUACUACUGAAGCCCUUCUUGAUAUUAAUGUUUUAAUAGAAAAGUCUUAUGUCAUCUAUGACUCAGAUGAGCUGGUCUUUGUAUGUAAGUCAAUGCUUCUCUCUCGCAACUGUCAAUGUACUUUCCUUGUUCUAUACAUUUAGUUUUUGUAACUCUAUAUACUAUGAUCCAGGGAUAAUUUUUUCUCCUCCUGUCCGUUUGGUAUUCUGUGCUUGUCUUACAUCUGUAUGAACUUUUCUUCGCUUGACUUGGGUAAUUUUUUCUUUGACCUUAGCAAAACCAUUUUAUUUCCACUUUUCAUGAAAAGCUCUGUUUUCUUUUAGUCCACCAUUCAUAGGUUUUUGCCUUUUUAUUGUACACCAGGUUCUUGUAUGUUCUGUUUAUAAAUUAAAAGUUUGUCAUUGACCUUGACUGCAUGAUCCAACAUGUUUUGUCCUGAUAUUCUGAUAGUCUAUCUUAUGUAUGUGAUUUAUUCUAUUGGUAGGUUUGUUUCUAAUGUUUCUAUUUGAUGUAUUAUUAUUGUUCAUCAUCAUAUCUUUCGGUUUUUUUUUAAUAUAUCUAGCAUGUUAUAAUUAUAUCAUAAAUUGACUAUUUCAUUCAGGUCUUUGCAAUAUUGUCUCUAAAAAUCCAUAUAUUAAUUAAUUAAUUAAUUUUCUUUUUAUUAAAAUGAAAGUUUUUUCUCACAU